GGUGAUAAAAUAAAUUAAAUAGCUUAAUAUUUAGUAUUUAAUAUUUUGUUAGUAUUAAAUAUAAAUUAAUAAGAGGAGUCUUAUUAUUAUUAUUAUUAUUAUUAUUAUUUAAUUCCUAAAGGAGUUUGAGAAUUAAUUAAUAAAAGUACUCUCAUUAAUUUCUAAUUGGAUUAGAAAUAUAAUUAAUUAAAGGAGUUUAAUUAAUUAAAAUAAAACCGUAUUCCUAAAUUGUUUAGGAGGGUUGCCUACAUCUAUAAGUAAGAAAGUCUUAUUAUGGAUUAGGGUUGCACACAUUUUAUUCCAAGAGUUGGGCGAGUAUGCAUAAUUCUAUAGAGAUUAAAUUUAAGGGUUUGUCAAACAUCCAUCUUCUUGAAUAUUUGUUCUUCUUUGGUGGAUCAUCUCUAGAAGUCAAACAUUUGGGUGGCUAACGUUGAUCAAAUGAAAGAAUCAAACCCCGUAAAUUCAAGUUCAACGUAAGUUAUAUUUUCAUUGAUACUCUUCUUAGUACAAAUCUCAACCUUAAAUAUGCCUACUAGUACAUGGAUUUAAUGCUAAUAUCAACCAUCUAUUCUUAGUCUAAUCCUAGUCAUUCAUUUAUCUAUAUAUAUAUCUGCCUAUAUUCAUAACAACGAUCUCACCUGAUCUCUAUAACAAGAAUUUUCUUUGCACCUAGUUUUUCAUCUCAAAUUUGGGGAUCCACUGUGCAUUCAGCUUACCAAUUUAUAUAUAUAUACCAUCUUCGCUACAAUUAAUUAUUAUUGGAAAAAGUAUGCCUAAAAAUAAUCUCAAUUUCAAAAAUUACUUUUUCGUCUUUGUAGAAUUAAAUAUAAAAUCAACAAAACUAAUUAUGAGAACAAAACUAACAAAUAAUCAUCCACAAGCAAGACACCAAAUUUAUAUGAAAAUUAACCCCCUAAAUUCAAGAGGUAAAAAACAUGGGUCAAACUCCAAAUCUCCACUAUAUCACUAAUAAUGGGUUUACAAUAAUCAUUCCAAGUUUUAUGCCCUAAAACUUGAUGUUACACAAUAAAUUAAGAGAAUACAAAUUUACUUUUAAUUAGGCUGAGAAACCUAAUUUACUUCGCCACCCAAAAAGCACCCUAAGCAAUAAAAUCUUCAAAAUUUAAAUUGAACGGAAAUGACGACGAAUACCUACAAACAACAAACUGUACUUCUCUCAAUUUAUUCUUUUGAUACCUUUUUGCUACCAAGUUUCUCUCAUGUGUAAACAAAGACUCCAUCAUAACCUUAUUUAUAGUACUCUCCCUAAUCCAUUCCUAUUAUGGAUUAGAAAAAAAAAUAUUCUCCUAAUCAAAUUAGGGAUCACAUCUCCUUGUCUUGGUCACCAAUCAAUCUAAGAAGUAAAUCAUUUUUCAACUUGGAUUUCAAUAGCACUUUUAUUAAUUAGUAAGCUCCCCUUAAUUUAAUUUCAACUUGGAUUCCUUUCAUGAGUGAGGACCCCUACCCAACAAUAUCUUCAACAUAAAAUAAAACUCCCUCCGUCCCAAGAUAAAAGUCUUUAUUACAAUUUGAGGUGGUCCCAAGUUAAAUGUCUACUUACUUUAAAUGAUCUAUUUUUUAUAAUAAUUUGCCUAUAAUACCCUUAUUAUUAAUUGUUAUAUUUCUAUUCUCUACGCAUAUUUAUGAAGCAUCAUUAGUAAUGUGCAGAAAACUAUGCAAUUAAAUAAGAAUUUAAAUAUAAACAAUUUUGUCAUUUUAUCUUUUUUCUUAAUAUGCCUAAAAAAUCAACUAAGACUUUUAUCAAGAGACGGUGAGAGUAAUAAUUGUGCCAUCAAAUAGCUUCCACUUCUUGGGAGACUUCUUCAACCGUAAAAGAAUUUUAUCUAAGAAAGUUGUUUUUACAGCCAACGACUCCGAUCCGGCUCCAAAUCAUGCAUAAAAACUAGACCAUGUACGACCUGAAUAAAAUUGUGUUUAACAAUACGUGAAAACAUAUCAUUAAAGUCAAUUUCUUCAACUUGAUUGAAUCGCUUAGAACCUAAUCGGGUUUUAUAUUUAGCAUCUAAUUCAACUCCUAAGAUACUUUCCUUUAUCUUGAAUACUUAUUUGCUGCUCACAAUCUUCUUUCCUUUUAAUAAUUUCACAAGCUUCCAAGUCUAAUUUUUCUAAAGAGACUCCAUCAUUUUAUUCAUACAAGCCAACGCCAACCACUAUCCCGAAUCAUUCGAACAAAUAACUUCUUUGUAAGUUACAUAAUCAUUAUACUCAACUGCCUCUGCAACUGAUGAGGCAUAAACAAUAUCUAAUUUUAUUUUUUGAUCAAAGCAUGUAUGACUAAUAAACUUCCACGAGUAAAUAAUUUUCACUCUUUUAAGUAUUUCAUUUUCUUUAGAGUCCACUGCACCCAUAUAAACAAAACUGGAAGCUCAAAAAAGCAUCCAAACAAACUAAAAUGAGUAGAGAGACUCGCUAAACCCCUAAAUUCAUCCCUGAUGAAACACCACAAGUUACCACAUAAAUACAUAAAAACUUGACUAAAUUAAUAUCCAUAGGUAAUUCUUGUUGAACAAUAAGUAUUGCACAUAUUAAAUACAUAUAAUUUUUUUUUAAAAGAUAGAUACAUAUAAAUUUUUAAAAAAAAAGCGUGUACCUUUAAAAGCUGUUUGAGGUCAUUAAUUCGGGUCAUGUUGCUCCACGUUAUCAAUCUUAAUCUUUAUAAGCAGCAUGGUAUAUAACCUAAUAUGGACAUAUGUAAUAAAUAGGUCGACAUCAGUAAUUAAAAGCAGAAAAAUUAAAGAGUAAAUUGUUUGAAACCAAACAUUUUUUACAUGGUUCAGCUCAGGUACUAACCCUAUUUGAACAACAUAAAUAAACAACAAGGACUGCAUUAAUAUGCGUAGAUUACAAGUAUUUCAUUGUGCUGGCUCUUGUGAUGCAAAUGGUGAGCUUAUAUAUACAGCAGGAAGUAGCAGAACCAUUUCAAUAUCCAAGUGAAAAACUCAUAGAUCUAGGCAUCAUGAUGAUGUGCAAAGGAAAUGAAUAACAGUUGAAGCAGGAGUGGAACAUGAAGAAAUACAAGACGGAACAAUGGAAGGGGAGAUAUUGGAUGAUCCCUAUUGGCAGGAUGGAUAAAUUAAAUCAGGAAGGAAAGGAAUGUCAAAUAGCCACAUUGGAUGCAGGAUUUUGUGAAGCGUAAAAAAGGAAAGCAAGGAAGAAAGAAGAAGUAACUUAGCUGUCAAACCAUGUUGAUCAUAGAUAGGGUCAUAAUUAAAUAUGAAAUAAUGAUUUGUAAGGGUAGGAUGGUUUAAUUAAUUCUCUAGUUUUGUAUUAGAUGUUUUGUUUGGAAAGAAUGGAAGCAGCUGGAAUGAAAUGGAAAAUUUCUCUAUUUUCUCUCUCUCCCUCUAUUCUCUCUUCCCCCAACUUAAUUUCUGGAGUCAAGCAGGGAUUCCCUAAAAAAUUCCUAUAUGAAGGCAAAAGGAUGAAGGCUAGAUUAGGUCACAAUUAAAUUAGCCAAAAAUAAGGGACAUUUUUUUCUCCCAGAAAGCUACUUAAGCUUUGAUUGACCCAUAUGUGUCCUUUUAUUCGUUAAAACAAUGAGACUUCUCCUUUCAACAUCAACUUCAAUCAUUUUUCUUCUUCUUUAGAUUUUCUCAAGGAUUUUUUUACCCACAAAUUAGGUUAAGGUACUGUAUUCACUUG
rnacentral:lncRNA from 1 species